rnacentral:rRNA from 1 species
UACGAAGGGGGCUAGCGUUGUUCGGAAUCACUGGGCGUAAAGCGCACGUAGGCGGAUUGUUAAGUCAGGGGUGAAAUCCUGGAGCUCAACUCCAGAACUGCCUUUGAUACUGGCGAUCUUGAGUCCGGGAGAGGUGAGUGGAACUGCGAGUGUAGAGGUGAAAUUCGUAGAUAUUCGCAAGAACACCAGUGGCGAAGGCGGCUCACUGGCCCGGUACUGACGCUGAGGUGCGAAAGCGUGGGGAGCAAACAGG